rnacentral:lncRNA from 1 species
GUUCAAAAAUAUUAAUAAGAACUUUCCAUUGCAUAGUUUUUGCUCAAAAUAAGAAUGAAGGUUUUGCAAAUUAUAUAUACUUGUAUCAGCUUUAAUGGACUUCAUCAAAAUAAAAGCAGUCAAAUGACAAAAAAAGUAUACAGUAUAUUUCCAAACGUAAAUUAAUUAUUACAGAUUUUCCAAUUUAUGCCCAACUUUGUCGAUCUGAAUGCAAAUUUUGAGAAUUUAUCUUAAAAACAUUUUUAAAAUUAGUCAAAUAAAAAUAUUGCAGAAAUGGAAAAUAAUUGUUACAGAUUUUCAAAUUAAUGCCAAAUUUGAAGAUAUUUACCUUAAAAAAAAACUGUAAAAUAAAAAUGAAAAAUAGUGCCGUUUUCAAAAUGUAAUGCUUAUGGUUUAAUUAAGAACUUAAUUAAAAACUAACAACUGCACAAUUUAAAUGAAAACUCUUGAAUUUUAUACUGUAUUAUACUGUAUAUACUGCAAUCUACUGUAUUUUUGUCAGGAAUUGGAUAUAAUCUCCCUAAAGAAACUAAGUUUAGAGAGGGAGAACCAGAUCCUCAAAACCUCCCUGCAGGAGUCUGAACUGGUGCUGGCGUCCACACAUGAGAAUCUCUCUCAAGAUCUGCAAAAUAAACUCCACAGCUGCCAGAAUGAAGCUCAGGCAUCUCACAGACACCACGAGGCCUUCAUGAAGAACGUGGAAGCUCUGCUGGAUGAUCAGUCUCUUCCUGUUCAACACACAGAAAGGGACAUAUUGAAGGCACUUACAGCCCUUUGCAGCAGAGAGAAAAGUGCACAAAAGAACCUCAGAGAUGUUGAAAGUGGAUCGUGUUGCUGCAGAUCCGGGAUUUGAUAUGAGACUGGAGGCCAUUCUUACAUGAGCAGAACAGCUGAGCAGACAGGAAGGGACAGCUUUACUGGAGACCAAGACACAAAUCUACAGCCUUCAGAGAAAGGUGCUGACAUGUCAAAUAACUAUUAUUUAGUUUAAUGUUUUGGUGCAUAACCUUUCCAAAUGUACAAUAAUUGUUACAGAUUUACAAAUGAAUGCGUUGAAUGAAUGAGUUUGAUCAUAAUUAAUCUUACAAAAAAGUUUUAAAAAUAGUUCCGAAGUGAGAAGAAUUGUUACAGUUUUACAAAGGAAUGUCUAAUUUUGACAGAUUUUAUAUAUUAAAACACUUUAAUGUUUUAUUAAAAAUUCAGAUUUUAAUAGUAAGACUACAUAUCUGCACAUACACUACUGUUCAAAAGUUUGGACUUUUUAGUGUUUUUGAAAGAAGUCUCUAAGAAAUGUUAUUUCUGAAUUUUCUAAGACCAUUCAAAACAUCCAGUUUAAUGUUUUAAAAAUCUGCUAUUGAUAGCAAUUAAUUAAAAAGUAACCAAUAGUAAAAAAAAAUAAAUAAUUAAAUGCAUGCAACAGAUGUAAAAUUUGCAAGUAUUUCAUUAAAUAUUAGUAGAUAUUUACCAUUUGUUGUGAUGAAUGAGACUCCUCCCAGUUUAAACUGGGUUAAUGGAAUUAUUACCCAGCUAACAAAAAACAUGUUCCCAUUAAGUUAUAGAAAUGUUAUUUCUGAAUUUUCUAAGACCAUUCAAAACAUCCAGUUAAUGUUUUAAAAAUUUAAACGUUCUAUGCUAUCAUUUUCCAAACAUGGGAAGUUUCUUUUGAAUAUUCUCUGAUAAAUAAAUACAAUGUAUAAAAACAUUUUCAGAAUGUUAUUAAAGACCAGAUCAUUUUAAAUGAACAUGCUUUUGUUACUGGAAGAAUGUUCAUUCAUAACUGAGAGAGAAGUUCUGAGGUUUCCUGUGGGUACUGGGUAAUACAACCCUAUAAAUAUUACAGUGUUUAAGCAGUGAUUGCAUCUGAAAAUUGGUAAGAAAAUAAUUAUGAUUUACAACUGAACCAAUUAUGGUCAUUCAGUCUUUAAUUGUAAUGAAAAAUACUAAUCAGCAGGUUAUGUGUAUAUCAUAGGUGUAUUUUCAUUGCGAAGGUUUCUUAGGCCUCACCAAACUGUACAUACAUAAAUAUCCUUUUCUUCGAUAUCAGUGGUUUACAUACAGUAAAGUAUAUCUAUGACACAGUUAACUUGAAUAUUACAGUAGUUUAGUUAAGAUCGAAAAUUAAAAAUAAACAAUGACAAAUCCAAUAAAAUCGAUGAUCGUUUUAAAGGAUGACCACAUGCCAAAAAUACAUAUAAAAAAUAAUUGCAAUAUAGAGUUCAUACGUACAUUUUUUUUAUCUUCUCUUUUUUACAAAUUAUUCAAGCAAUCCAACACCUUUAAAUUUUUUUCCCAAUAAACUUGAUCUUUCCAUGAUUUAAAAAGGCCUUUAGACCUGAUUAACUCACAGUGUUGAGUUAAUAUACUCCG